AAGGAAAUAGCCUUUUUUCAUCAAGUGGAUCUAGAAAGCUGAGGCUGUCUCUGAUUCUGCUGUGGCUCCGUCCCUUGUGGAAGGACGGGGGGGCAGGACGAGGGGACAGAUCAGCAAGAUUCUUGGACAUGGUUUUUAUUCCCUGAAGAAUGUGCUUGGGUCAGUUCCAGCAUUCGCUCUGAAAUCAGAUGUGCAGUUAAGAGUUAAGGAAAACCUUCAAGGGAGCCAGGCCAAAAGAUGUGGGCACUGUUUUUGGCUCAAUCGGAGAACCUGUCCUCUUCAGCUAGAGAAGGCGGAGGCCCAGGGCAGAGGUCUGUGCGGGCGGUGUGCUGGGGUGUGGGGCUCCCGCUGAAACAGCAUGCUGUGUGCUGCCGCUAAUGUGUGCUGAGCUGGCAUUCUGGUUCCUUCACCAGGCUGCACGGGGCAGGAAUUUCGCAGCCCCACUCUCAUGUUGUCGAAAUAGCUAAACGUUUGCUUCCUACCUAUUCCUAUACUGAUUUCCGAACAACAUUUCCUUACAAUCACCUCAAGGGCCCAUGGAUUUUACAGGUAACAAGGCUACAAAUAGGUACUUUCCGAAAGACCCUGGCUGACUCACACGCAGACCCGCCAGUUGAGAACUGUACUUUUAUUAGUCCGGGUUUCUGUGGCCCAUCAUUAACGGAGGCGAUUGGUAUACUAACAGACCACUGAGGACACGUACAGAUUUGACCUAUCCUGGAAUCUCUGCAGAGUCCACAUGUAACUGAAAGACAUAAGCUGGAGGUCUUCCUCAAGCUACACGAACCUGGCACUCAGUCUCUUCCCUGCACCUGCACAAUGAAGGUGCCGGGGCCAUAUGAUCUCCCAGGUACCCCUUGCAGAUCCAACGCCCGCAAUCACAGAUUCGGGAAACCAGAGGCCAGGAUCACAGAGCCGUGCGGGCAGGCCCAGUGCAGCUCCUCCGAACAGGGUCUGAACUACACAUUCACAUGUCCUGCUCGGCCAGUGCCGAGGAUACCCACACCUGUCCUGACCUCACGCUGCCCAUCAGAUGGCACGCCACGCCCUGCUCUCGGACACCCCCCGCCCCGCAGCCGGGCCUAAGCCAGAGGUGUGCUCUUUCCAAGGCUGUCUUCUGCUUUUUCACUGCAGUGCAGAAGGCACCGCGGCUCUACACAAGCUUCGUUGUCCUUUUAUGGUAGAAAAAUGAAUUGCUUGCCCAGCAGUGGAGCUGAGAGAGAUGACAGAACGGAAAGUUGUCAUUUGUUGUGGUUCUGGCAGCAACAGAAGAGAGCGUUCUCCCCUCAGCCACCCUGGGAUGGACAGUGCACGCCAGGCAUUCAGCGAGGGAAAAGCAAACCCAGCCAAACUGCUCCCAGAGGCAUUCCUCCCUUGCCUGGCCUGUGAACGGAUGUGUUUAUUUAUGAAGAGUGUCAAGAUUUAUUUUGGGGGAAAUGCACUUUUUACAAAACAAGGUAUAAAAAGGCCGUUUUGUGUUCUGCUAGAAGCUCUUAACAAAGGUACCCCAGAAAACACGGUUCCAAUCAGAUUGCAUCCAAGGAACGGGCUUCAUUUCCUUGCAGGAUGAGGCU